GGUGGGAUGCCCGAGCGGCCAAAGGGAGCGGGCUGUAAACCCGUCGGCUAAGCCUACGAAGGUUCGAAUCCUUCUCCCACCACCA
rnacentral:tRNA from 1 species